ensembl:lncRNA
CUGGGCCAUUCAGCACUAUUCCUGAGUUCAUCGAUAGUUAUUGGGGACAACCUUAGGAUGAUGAAAAUAAGCCAAGAAGACACUGAGAGGCUGUGGAAAAAAUACCAAGAGUACAUCAUGAGAAACACUGAGCUGGAUGAAACACAAGCUGGAACAAGAUUGCCAGGAGAAAUAUCAAUUACCUCAGAUAUGCAGAUGACACCACCCUUAUGGCAGAAUGUGAAGAAGAACUACAGAGCCUCUUGAUGAAAGUGAAAGAGGACAGUGAAA